rnacentral:lncRNA from 1 species
GCCCUUUAGUAUAUAAAUGAUAAACAAACAACAUGGGAUCCUAUAGAACGUCUUAUAGUAGAUAAAUAAUGUUGAGAAAACAGGUGAUCCUUUAGAACGCCCUAUAGUAUAAACAUGAAAAACAAUCAACAGUGGGUCUUAUAGAACGUCCUAUAGUACAUAUAUUAUGUUGAAAAACAGGGAUUCCUGCAGACCACCCAUAGUUUCCCGCAGACCGACUUAGGGAUCAUAUAGAAAGCCCUAUAGUAUAAACAUGAAAAACAAUCAACAGGGGAUACUAUAGAACGUCCUAUGAUAGAUAUAUAAUGUUGAGAAAACAGGGGAUCCUGCAGACGGCCCAAGGGAUCAUAAACGCCCUAUAAUAUAUACAUAAUAAACAAAGAACAGGGGAACCUAUAUAAUUUCCUAUCUCAGAUGCAUAUUUUUUUUUAACAAAAAGGGAUUCUGUAGACCGCCCAGGGGAUCCUGUAGAACGCCCUAUAGUAUAAAUAUGAAAAACAAAGAACAGGG